GAGAGAUGAAGUCUGGACAAACAACCAUCAUUCUACCAAUCAGCCCCAGCAAAAGUCUCACAGCUACCAACCUAGCCCUCGGCGGUCUCCAACUCCGCAACCAGCUCCCAAGGCGAUAAUUAGUGAACAGUUUAAUCUGCUCCUCCAACAAGUGUAGAAUUUGAUAGAGUAGUUCGAGGCAUGUAACGCCCAAACCAAAAAUGAUCGUCGUGCAACUAGAUCAACAAGAUGACUUGGCACACCAUGCUGGUCGCAGCCCUGGAAACUCCAGCCGUCACUGCGAAGAUGAUUUUCCUAGCGCUCAUUCCGAAAUGAGUUUUAGCCCGAGAGAUUUGAAAUCACCCUAGCCAGAAAGGCUCU
rnacentral:lncRNA from 1 species